rnacentral:sRNA from 1 species
UUUGCGACGUUGACCUGUUCAGAUUGCCCGGCCAGUUUGCCGAUGGCUUCGUGAAUGCUCGGAUGCCAGGUAACGGCGCGGUUGACCGCAUCAUUGAGAGUCAGCGUUCCCGGCGCGGGGGCGUCCAACGGUAAGCUGGUGGAGCCAUCAAGUGCCGGUAGUUGUUGCUCAGAGAGUUCCUGAGUACUGAUAAAUUGUGGUGUGUCAUCGGCAUGCGCCUGGGCUAUACACAGGCUGCAUGCCAGCCACAGUGCAAACGGCUGUAAUUUUCCCAUAGUCAGUCCCUUUUAAAAGUCACUACGUUCUAAUUGGUAUGGCUUGCCUGCUUUUGU